AACGAACGCUGGCGGCGUGGAUUAGGCAUGCAAGUCGAACGGUAUCAUCCUUUCGGGGGUGAGAGAGUGGCGAACUGGUGAGUAACACGUAGGUUAUCUACCCUCAAGACGGGGACAACCCAGGGAAACUUGGGCUAAUACCGGAUGUGAGCAACUUUUAGUUGUUUGAAAGGUGGCGUAAGCUGUCGCUUGGGGAUGAGCCUGCGUCCUAUUAGUUAGUUGGUGAGGUAACGGCUCACCUAGGCAAUGAUAGGUAGGCGGCCUUAACGGGUGGUCGCCCACACUGGGAUUGAGAUACGGCCCAGACUCCUACGGGAGGCAGCAGUCGAGAAUAGUCUACAAUGGUCGGAAGACUGAUAGUGCGACGCCGCGUGAACGAUGAAUCCCUUCGGGGUGUAAAGUUCUUUUAUAUGUGAGCAGUGCUUCUUAUAUUAACAGUAUGGGGAGAGAGAUAUUAGCAUAUGAAUAAGCAACGGCUAACUCCGUGCCAGCAGCCGCGGUAAA
rnacentral:rRNA from 1 species